GUAUCCGGAAAGGGUUGAAACUUAGUUUCGUUUUCUAACAGGCACUCUUGGGUUGAACGCUUGGGUUGGACGUCGUCGCUUCUUCGUGGUUUAGAUACUAUUUGUGAAAUUAAAAGUUGUAAGAUACUCAAAACAUUCAAUAUUAGCGUUGACGCGACUUAUUAUUCUGUUUUAAUUACCUGAAGAGAAGAUGCAACAACUGCACGUGUUGGUUUUUUCUCUCUUCCUGUUUUGGAUUUCGCACCCAGUCAACGCGCUUGAAACAGUGUAUGGUGCAGAAGGUGAUGACAUUGUCCUCACGCCACCUCUUCAGUCUCCGUCUCCUUCCAUCACAAGCAUUCAGUGGAUACAUGGAGAGGACAUCGUUGCAGAGUGGUAUCAAGGGCAUGGAACUGAGACAAAUUGUUUUACCAAGUUCAAAGGUCGCUGCAAGCUGAAUCUUUUGACCGGGGCGCUGACAAUCACAGGACUGACUAAAACCGACA